rnacentral:rRNA from 1 species
CCAACACGGCCGGCUAUCAUGCAAGUCGAGCGAACGGAUAAGGAGCUUGCUCCUUUGAAGUUAGCGGCGGACGGGUGAGUAACACGUGGGUAACCUACCUAUAAGACUGGAAUAACUUCGGGAAACCGGAGCUAAUGCCGGAUAACAUUUGGAACCGCAUGGUUCUAAAGUAAAAGAUGGUUUUGCUAUCACUUAUAGAUGGACCCGCGCCGUAUUAGCUAGUUGGUAAGGUAACGGCUUACCAAGGCAACGAUACGUAGCCGACCUGAGAGGGUGAUCGGCCACACUGGAACUGAGACACGGUCCAGACUCCUACGGGAGGCAGCAGUAGGGAAUCUUCCGCAAUGGACGAAAGUCUGACGGAGCAACGCCGCGUGAGUGAUGAAGGUUUUCGGAUCGUAAAACUCUGUUAUUAGGGAAGAACAAAUGUGUAAGUAACUGUGCACAUCUUGACGGUACCUAAUCAGAAAGCCACGGCUAACUACGUGCCAGCAGCCGCGGUAAUACGUAGGUGGCAAGCGUUAUCCGGAAUUAUUGGGCGUAAAGCGCGCGUAGGCGGUUUCUUAAGUCUGAUGUGAAAGCCCACGGCUCAACCGUGGAGGGUCAUUGGAAACUGGGAAACUUGAGUACAGAAGAGGAAAGUGGAAUUCCAUGUGUAGCGGUGAAAUGCGCAGAGAUAUGGAGGAACACCAGUGGCGAAGGCGACUUUCUGGUCUGUAACUGACGCUGAUGUGCGAAAGCGUGGGGAUCAAACAGGA